rnacentral:rRNA from 1 species
CUACGGGGUGCUGCAGUGGGGAAUAUUGGACAAUGGGCGAAAGCCUGAUCCAGCCAUGCCGCGUGUGUGAAGAAGGCCUUCGGGUUGUAAAGCACUUUCAGUGGGGAAGAAAGCCUUGGGGCUAAUACCCUCGAGGAAGGACAUCACCCACAGAAGAAGCACCGGCUAACUCCGUGCCAGCAGCCGCGGUAAUACGGAGGGUGCGAGCGUUAAUCGGAAUUACUGGGCGUAAAGCGCGCGUAGGCGGUCUGAUAAGCCGGUUGUGAAAGCCCCGGGCUCAACCUGGGAACGGCAUCCGGAACUGUCAGGCUAGAGUGCAGGAGAGGAAGGUAGAAUUCCCGGUGUAGCGGUGAAAUGCGUAGAGAUCGGGAGGAAUACCAGUGGCGAAGGCGGCCUUCUGGACUGACACUGACGCUGAGGUGCGAAAGCGUGGGUAGCAAACAGGAUUAGAUACCCGGGUAGUC